CCACGUUAUGUGAUAAGAUCCCUGGAAGACUACCAGGUUGAUAGGCCAAGAGUGGAAGUGUAGUAAUAUAUGUAGCGUAUUGGUACUAAUAGAUCGAAGAUUUGACCUG
rnacentral:rRNA from 1 species